rnacentral:Y_RNA from 1 species
GGCUGGUCCAAAGGUAGUGAAUUAUCUCACUGGAUUGUUUACGGUGAGUUACAGAUUGAACUCCUUGUUCUACUCUUCCCCCCCUUCUCACUAAUAUACUUGACUAGUCUUAA